rnacentral:lncRNA from 1 species
UACUUGGGCGUUUCAUUUAUCAAAAGAGUCCAUUACAAAAAGUUUUGCCAUAUUAGUUUUACAGUUACACAAACUUCUUAGCCACGUCGCCUUACUUCUUUACACGUUCCAGGAACUCCGAUAUGCUUGAUCUUUGGCUUGGAGGGUAUUGGCAACUGAGAACUUCCGCUUCAUCUGACAAUUGUACUACAUGCGCAGCCGCCCUACGAAUUUCAUUGAUUAAACUGCCGAGAUACAUAUCCUUUUCUUGGAGGGCUCUCUCAUAGGCGCGAAUGUCUCUGUCAUGCUGACCAUUCUUGUCUUCUAAAGCCCUCAAGAGGUCAUCCAAAUAUUGUUGAUGAGCUUGCAGUGUACUCUCUAAACUUCGAAUUUUUCCUUUUAGCUCUUGAUGCUCAGACUGACUAGCUGUUAGUUCUGCAGUCACAGCUUC